rnacentral:rRNA from 1 species
UACGUAGGGCGCAAGCGUUAUCCGGAAUUAUUGGGCGUAAAGAGCUCGUAGGCGGUUUGUCGCGUCUGCCGUGAAAGUCCGGGGCUCAACUCCGGAUCUGCGGUGGGUACGGGCAGACUAGAGUGAUGUAGGGGAGACUGGAAUUCCUGGUGUAGCGGUGAAAUGCGCAGAUAUCAGGAGGAACACCGAUGGCGAAGGCAGGUCUCUGGGCAUUAACUGACGAUGAGGAGCGAAAGCAUGGGGAGCGAACAGG